AGGUGGCUAUGGCGGCGGUGUUCCACCUCUUCCCAUUCCGAACAGAGAAGUUAAGCCCGCCUGCGCCGAUGGUACUGCAAUGCAAUGCGGGAGAGUAGGUGGCCGCCUUCUU
rnacentral:rRNA from 1 species